rnacentral:rRNA from 1 species
UACGUAGGUGGCAAGCGUUGUCCGGAUUUACUGGGCGUAAAGAGCGCGCAGGCGGUCGUUCAAGUCGCGUGUGAAAGCCCCCGGCUCAACUGGGGAGGGUCACGCGAUACUGAUCGACUCGAAGGCAGGAGAGGGUAGUGGAAUUCCCGGUGUAGUGGUGAAAUGCGUAGAUAUCUGGAGGAACACCGGUGGCGAAGGCGGCAUCCUGGACCGGUAUUGACGCUGAGGCGCGAAAGCUAGGGGAGCGAACGGG